CGCGCACACACACACACUGUGUCUCACACACACACACAUACAACAGUCAGGUUAGUAGCAGGCAGUCAGGGAGAAACAGUCAGAUUAGGAGCAGGCAGUCAGGGAGAAACAGUCAGGUUAGGAACAGGCAGUCAGGGAGAAACAGUCAGGUUAGGAGCAGGCAGUCAGGGAGAAACAGUCAGGUUAAGAGCAGGAGGUCAGGGAGAAACAGUCAGGUUAGGAGCAGGCAGUCAGGGAGAAACAGUCAGGUUAGGAGCAGGCAGUCAGGGAGAAACAGUCAGGUUAGGAGCAGGCAGUCAGGGAGAAACAGUCAGGUUAAGAGCAGGAGGUCAGGGAGAAACAGUCAGGUUAAGAGCAGGCAGUCAGGGUGAAACAGUCUGGUUAGGAGCAGGCAGUCAGGUUGAAACAGUCAGGUAGAAACAGUCAGGUUAGGAGCAGGCAGUCAGGGUGAAACAGUCAGUUUAGGAGCAGGCAGUCAGGGAGAAACAGUCAGGUUAGGAGCAGGCAGUCAGGGUGAAACAGUCUGGUUAGGAGCAGGCAGUCAGGGUGAAACAGUCAGGUUAGGAGCAGGCAGUCAGUGAGAAACAGUCAGGUUAGGAGCAGGCAGUCAGUGUUAAACAGUCAGGUUAGGAGCAGGCAGUCAGGGAGAAACAGUCUGGUUAGGAGCAGGCAGUCAGUGAGAAUCAGUCAGGUUAGGAGCAGGCAGUCAUGGUGAAACAGUCUGGUUAGGAGCAGGCAGUCAAGGUGAAACAGUCAGGUUAGGAGCAGGCAGUCAGUGAGAAACAGUCAGGUUAGGAGCAGGCAGUCAGUGAUAAAUAGUCAGGUUAGGAGCAGGCAGUCAGGGAGAAACAGUCUGGUUAGGAGCAGGCAGUCAGUGAGAAACAGUCAGGUUAGGAGCAGGCAGUCAGUGAUAAACAGUCAGGUUAGGAGCAGGCAGUCAGGGAGAAACAGUCUGGUUAGGAGCAGGCAGUCAGUGAGAAACAGUCAGGUUAGGAGCAGGCAGUCAUGGAGAAACAGUCAGGUUAGGAGCAGGCAGUCAGGGAUAAACAGUCAGGUUAGGAGCAGGCAGUCAGGGAGAAACAGUCAGGUAGAAACAGUCAGGUAGAAACAGCCAGGUUAUGAGCAGGCAGUCCAGGGAUAAACAGUCAGGUUAGGAGCAGGCAGUCAGUGAGAAACAGUCAGGUUAGGAGCAGACAGUCAGUGAGAAACAGUCAGGUGUGCCAAACAGAAUCCCCUCCGUUCAGCACCAUGGACAGCAGCCGUUCUGAACGCGACAACUACGUGGCAACAACACAGCAACGCAUCACAGUCUCCCCACAAAGCGAUCCGUGGGCGGUGUUUGACACCCGGUAGCGGCUGGGGAGCGUGGGGGCUGGCUGGCUGUCAUCUGUUUCACCGGCACGUUUCACGGAGAGGAGCAGCCAGGCGCCCACCUACCGUUGUUUUGUUUUUUUUAAACCUCCAGAUUGACUUCCGUUUACGCUUUCACCGCUGUUAGGGUCAGCUCACUAGACUGGACAGGACUAAAACAUUGAGAUUUCAGAAAACAAACCGGGUUUGAAAAACGGGAUAUAUAUUUGUUUUUUAAUUUGUGCUUUUCGGUGCAGGUGUGUGGGUGAGUGAGGGCGCAAAAGAGAGAGGAGAGAGCGUGUAAGUGCCGUGUUGUUUGUGUCGGUGUUUCGGCUAAACCGCUUUAUGUGUUUGUAUGUAGCUGGCUAUGGGUCUGUAUGAGUGUGUAUGAGUGUGUGGAGUGUGUUCGCUCUGAAUUGGAGGGGAUAUCCAAGAAAAAUGUCAGCGUGUCAACAACAACAACAACAGAGGCAGGCUAACGGUCGGAUGUGUACUUGCUUUUUCUCUCAUACCGGGAGAUAGAAAAGGCGCUCGUUCAUUCAGGAAGGAGGAGGACGUUACCGGAAUACCUAAGAGACGAGUGGAACUGAACCGUCUUCCCGCCUGUCUGACUGACUGUCUGUCUGCCUGACUAACGUGAAUGAAAUCUUUAGAGGAGGAGGGGAGCGUUUCAAUCCACAGCCGUCAAGGAUUCAAUCGACGGAUGAAGAUGGAGUCAUUCCGCCGCUGUGGACGUUAAACGGACGUUAGGUCUGGAGAGGCUGGUUGGAGAAGUUGAGCUGAAAGGAGACUGAACCGGGGAAAGAGGGAGAGGCGGAUCGGGUAGCUGAAAGGAGACUGAACGGGGAAAGAGGGAGAGGCGGAUCGGGUAGCUGAAAGGAGACUGAACGGGGAAAGAGGGAGAGGCGGAUCGGGUAGCUGACAGGGACGCAGACCAGCCUAGCCCUGGAUUUCACCAGGAGAUUCCAAGAAGAAGAAGAGAAAUAAGAGAAAUAUGUGGCGUCACCGCUGCCGCCAGUCUAGUCUGUGGUGGAGUCUUGAGCCAGUGGUCGUUAAAACGACCCGGCUUGAUCAGUGAAGCCCCUAGCCUUCUCUCUCUCUCUCUCUCUCUCUCUCUCUCUCU